rnacentral:rRNA from 1 species
CAGUUAAAAAGCUCGUAGUUGAAUUUCGGGAUCAAAUUGUCGGUCGUGCCUCGGUACGUACUGGCGUUAUUGGUUCCUCCCUUCUGAAGAACCGCGAUGUCAUUAAUUUGGUGUCAUGGAAUCAGGACUGUUACUUUGAAAAAAUUAGAGUGUUUAAAGCAGGCUCGCGCUUGAAUACAUUAGCAUGGAAUAAUGAAAUAGGACGUUUGAUUCUAUUUUGUUGGUUUCUAGGAUCGAAGUAAUGAUUAAUAGUGAUAGUUGGGGGCAUUAGUAUUCAAUUGUCAGAGGUGAAAUUCUUGGAUUUAUUGAAGACUAACUACUGCGAAAGCAUUUGCCAAGGAUGUUUUCAUUAAUCAAGAACGAAAGUUAGGGGAUCGAAGACGAUCAGAUACCGUCGUAGUCUUAACCAUAAACUAUGCCGACUAGGAAUCAGACGAUGUUAAUUUUUUAAUGACUCGUUUGGCACCUUACGGGAAACCAAAG